AAGGCCGGAAGCUUCCUACUGCAGUCGAACGAUAAGGCACCUUCGGGUGUACAUAAGUGGCGGACGGGUGAGUAACACGUAGGAAAUCUACCUUAAGGAAGGGGACAACCAUUGGAAACGAUGGCUAAUACCCUAUAUGAGAUAUUUUGAAAUAUUUAUCUUGAAAGUUCCGGCGCCUUAAGAUGAGCCUGCGUCUGAUUAGCUAGUUGGUGGGGUAAAGGCCUACCAAGGCGACGAUCAGUAGCUGGUUUGAGAGGAUGAUCAGCCACAAUGGGACUGAGACACGGCCCAUACUCCUACGGGAGGCAGCAGUAGGGAAUUUUGCGCAAUGGGGGAAACCCUGACGCAGCAAUACCGCGUGAACGACGACGCUUUUCGGAGUGUAAAGUUCUGUCAGUGGGGACGAAAUUUGACGGUACCCACAGAGGAAGCAUCGGCUAACUACGUGCCAGCAGCCGCGGUAAGACGUAGGAUGCAAGCGUUAUCCGGAAUCAUUGGGCGUAAAGCGUUCGUAGGC
rnacentral:rRNA from 1 species